UACAGGAGGUCUCAAGCUGUUGUUCGGAUUCAUUGGCGUAAAGGGUGCGUAGGCGGCGCGGUAAGUCGGGGUGUGAAAUUUCGAGGCUUAACUUCGAAACUGCAUUCGAUACUGCCGUGCUCGAGGACUGGAGAGGAGACUGGAAUUUACGGUGUAGCGGUGAAAUGCGUAGAUAUCGUAAGGAAGACCAGUGGCGAAGGCGGGUCUCGUGGACAGUUCCUGACGCUGAGGCACGAAGGCCAGGGGAGCAAACGGGG
rnacentral:rRNA from 1 species